rnacentral:rRNA from 1 species
CAGGCCUAACACAUGCAAGUCGAACGAUGGCUUCGGCCAUAGUGGCGCACGGGUGCGUAACGCGUGGGAAUCUGCCCUUGGGUUCGGAAUAACCAGGAGAAAUUGUGGCUAAUACCGGAUGAUGACGUAAGUCCAAAGAUUUAUCGCCGAAGGAUGAGCCCGCGUAGGAUUAGCUAGUUGGUGAGGUAAAGGCUCACCAAGGCGACGAUCCUUAGCUGGUCUGAGAGGAUGAUCAGCCACACUGGGACUGAGACACGGCCCAGACUCCUACGGGAGGCAGCAGUGGGGAAUAUUGGACAAUGGGCGAAAGCCUGAUCCAGCAAUGCCGCGUGAGUGAUGAAGGCCUUAGGGUUGUAAGCUCUUUUACCCGGGAUGAUAAUGACAGUAUCCGGGAGAAUAAGCUCCGGCUAACUCCGUGCCAGCAGCCGCGGUAAU